UACAGAGGUCCCAAGCGUUGUUCGGAUUCACUGGGCGUAAAGGGUGCGUAGGUGGUGAGGUAAGUCGGAUGUGAAAGCUCGGAGCUCAACUCCGAAAUGGCAUUGGAAACUACCUUGCUCGAGGGUUGGAGGGGGGACUGGAAUACUUGGUGUAGCAGUGAAAUGCGUAGAUAUCGGGAGGAACACCGGUGGCGAAGGCGGCCCCCUGGUUGGAUACUGACGCUGAGACGCGAAAGCGUGGGGAGCAAACAGG
rnacentral:rRNA from 1 species